AACACAGCUAAAACACAGGAGAAGCUGAAUCAGAGGAGAAGCUGAGUGAGAAACUAUAGCCGGGCUCAGAAUCUUUUCUUCCUUUCAAUCUUGAAAAUUACCUCUUUAAACUAUGUGUGUCUUCUUUUGCCUUUUCCUUAGACUAUGCAGGCCAUAGUCUUCGUAAGACUAUGCAGGCCACCCUAGAGACCCUCUAGACAUAUAAAAUGAGGAUAAUAGUUCCCACCUCAUAGGGUUGUGUGAAGGUUAAUUGAGUUAAUGUGUGUAAAGCACUUACGACAGAGUUGGUACAUAGUAAUUGCCAUGUAAGUACCAGCUAUUAUUGUAAUUACAAUGCCAUGCGGAUGAAGGUCCUCUGGUUCAUCUUACAGUUAUACUAGUUCAAUGGGCUUUAAUUUUUUCGGUAGAUAGGUGGCUGUGGAGGUGGGAGAAGCAAAGAGAAUUAGUCUUGGUACUAAGAUUGGGAUACUUAAGUAUUUUAGGUUUAGUAUUUUAGAUCUGAAAAUUAAGUUUGUAAAUUUGUGCUUACAUUGGCAGCACUGUACAAAACAACUUGGUAAGAUUUCAUAACCUUGGUGUAUCAGAGUCUCACAGCUGUGUUUGUGUCAAUGUGUGGCAGUGUCUUGCUGAGUGGCAUUCAUUAUUGUUGUGAGGUUUUGUGUGCUGUCACGAAAAUGGAACAUGAUUUGAGCAACAAAACAUUGAAUUUCUUGUUAAACUUGGCAAAAGUGGAAAAUCAAGGACAUGUUAUUCCACGUUUAUAGGGAUAAUUCCAUGAAGAAAACAGCUGUGAAUAAAUGGGUUAAACGUUUUUUUUGUUUUUUUUUUCUGAGGGGAGAAAGGAUUACUGAUGAAGAGAUGUCAGGGCAGCCAAUAAUGAGAACUGAUAAAAACUGCAAAAAUUUGUCAAAUUGUGCCUCAAAAUCAUCUGCUGGCUGUGAGAAGCAUAGCAGACCAAAUAAAUGGAUAGAGAAACAGAUGGGAAAAUCUUAACUGAAAACAACCUGAACUUCGCUCUAAUUCAUGGCUCUUGCAUUAGAACGGUGCAUCAGCUCACAUGGCACUGUCUGUGAGGGAGUGUUAGCCAGUAAACAAAAAUUGUAUUGGAACACCCUCCUAAUCACCCUGAUGACUUUUUUCUUUACUUGAACAUAAAGGAAACAUUGAAAGAAAGACAUUUUGAUGACAUUCAAGACAUCAAGGGUAAUAAGAUGACAGCUCUGACGACCAUUCCAAAGAAGGAGUUCCAAAAUUUCUUUGAAGGGUGGACUAGAUGCUGAGAUCCUGCUGGCUGUGUCUCCUCUCUCCCGAGAACUGCAUCUAAAACAUGAAUGAUGUGGAGGAGAAGAGCCUGGAAGAGCCUGGGGAAGUGGGAAGGAAGAGAACAAGGAGGAGGCCAGAACUCACAAACAACAAAGACAAAAGAAGUCUAAAUUGAGAUCUCUCCCUCUGUAGCCACCUUCCUGCUUCCCUUCAAAAAGUUGAUGCUGCUCCAUGUGUUAUCUCCUGAGGAAUCCCAGUUCAGGGAUGGCCUGUACUAAGUGAGAGCUGCCUACUCAGUCUCUAAUCAGCCCUUCCUAGGGCUGUCUCUGGGCAGUCAGGCUUCCUUCCCCAGGUGGGACUGUCCUCUGCCUUCAGGCACUUCACACUCUAAUUAUUUAUCAAGGGGACAAAAAAGAAUUGUUGAUGAAACCCAGGGUUAGAGAGCAGAAAGUAUUCAUGAGCCACUGCUGCAGGGGUGCCCUCUUACUCGGCAAAUGUUAGACCAGGUUUGUCUUUGUUGUUUUUAUUUUGUUUGGAUGUUUUAUUACUUUUGUUAUUUAACACAACUAAAGAUAUUAUGUGCCCUAAGGGCAUUUCCAGAGCAUUGCCAACAAUCCUGAUAAAUCAGUUCAAUUGGUUUUCAAAAUUUAAGUCUUUGGCAUUGCAGUUUCCUAUAAUAUUUGAGCCUGGUUUGUACAUGAAGGUGAGUCGGAAAUGGGGAAUCUAUGAAUAAUAUAUAGUAUAUGCAAUUUGUAUCCAUCUGCAGAGCUAAUAAAAUG